GCUGCUAUCUGUGUGAUAGGGAGAUGAUCAAUUACUGCCCUCCUGAUAUACAUUUGCUGAUUUAAUUGUUUGUAUGAGAAAUUGCCUUUAGUACUUUGAAAAACCUGUUUUACGUAUCCUAAUGUAUCCCUAUUUUCAAAAACCAUGUUCAGAAACCCCAUAGGAUGAUGAGCUGCAUUCCUCCAUGUUACAUCCACAACUCCCAUGAGUGAUUGCAGAGUUUUUCUUUCUUCCAUUACCGGAAGAGAUGUUGAUGUCCAGGAACAGGGUUACCUUUGAACUUGAAGAUGCA
rnacentral:lncRNA from 1 species